CAAUUUCAAAUGAUUUUCUAACAAGUUUUUAUUUUCUAAGAACAGUUUGAAUUUAGGUGUGUUCCGCCUCCUCAUUCAUUCACAUAAAAAUAGUCAUUUUUUCUUUUGCGGACAAUUUAAUUUUUGGGACAUUUCUGACCCGGACAAAAUUCCCCAAGCACUUUCCAAUUGUUUGUGCAGUUCAAGUCUGCAGACAUUUGCUAAUCUCCCGUCAGAACAGGAUCUGCACACGUGUUCACAUUUUCCAUCUGUUGCCCUCAUUGUUUUCGUUACUAAUAAUAACUUUGGAAAUGUGUGCGUUUCUAUCAAACUACAUGGCCUUAUGACUCCCUAGUGGCGCAGCGGUCAAAGGCACAGCACGGGGUCAAAGGCACAGCACGGUGCUAGAGACGUCACUACAGACUCCCUGGUUCAAAUCCAUGCUGCGUUUCUAAAAACCACAAACAGUAUUUGCCAAUAUCAUAACUGGACAUCUUUCGAGCUGAAGAUUGAGGACAGCUUUUGUAUGCUAACGUUCUCUCCUUAACAGUUUUACUGGAUGGAAACACAGCAAGAAAACACAUAGGCCAAUAUGUAAUAGUCGUCUAUUUUAUUGAAGUAUUGGUAGUUGGUUCAACAACAACUUGUUUUACUAGAGGACAAAAAAUUGAAUAUGCAUAACCCAUA